UAUUUUCCUGCUUUGAUGAUGCCAAAACCAAAAUGCAUGAUUGAUUCCUUGCUUCAGAGCAUGAUGAAUAUAUACAUGUUCACUGGGGAAAUUUUCAAAAGCUUGAAGCCGUUGAAACUUCUCAUGUAUCUUCCUAGCAUCAUGUACCAGUGGCUCCCUAUUGUAAGAAAAUAACAAUGAGAAUCAUCAAGUAAAUCCUCUAUCAGAGAAUGAAUGUAAAUUCUUGCUUAGGUGGGUUUUGUGCCUCCUACGAGGAAUUGACAGCACAGGGCAGGUUGUUUUUCAGCUGGUAAAAUGGGCACUCUCUCUUACUCCUACUAGGCUCAUAAGAUGAAGAGAAAACAAUGAAUCUGAUGCAAAAUUGAAUAUGUUGAUAAUUCGGUGGGCCGGGAUAAUUUACAUAGGAACGAUGAAAUAUUAGAUAAGAGGAAGGGUCUGACUGUUCUUGACGGCUCUGAAGAUAAUAAUAUACUACUUAGCUGUUUCAUUCGUUUGGAUUUGGGAUUCAACAUGGAAGAUAAUAUAAAUUGUUUAUCUUCGUGUUACAAAUUCCUCACUUUGUUUGGAAGCUAUAGACAUAGAAACAUCAGAUAAACGUAGCUGGAAGAUGAUGGUAAUUGGAUGCAUGCAUCCUGCAGCCUUGUAGAGUAUCUGUAAUUUCUGUUUCUGGACGUGCUGCUGAUGAGAAGAUAGGUGUGGACAUUGGUGAAGAGGUUGGCUAUAGUAUCCACUGUAGGAGUAAGACAACAGUGCUGAAAUAUUAAACUGAUGAAAGAAGUCUAGCAACAGAUUUGCCGUUUGGGAUUCUUAAAGAAGUUCUAAGAAAUA
rnacentral:misc_RNA from 1 species